GGCUCCCAGUCCUCUGGAUUGAUCCUUCUGUUUUUAUUGUCCUGGGAUUUAGGAAAGGCCCACCCUCCCAGCAGUUGCUAUAAGUGAGGCCUAGUCCUCCCUCAAAUCCUUCCCAUCACUACAAUGUUGGAGCCAGAGAGAGAGAGGGUGGGCUGUUUGGUGGAGGCAGCCGGGAAAUAAAGUCUCCCACUUGGUGGCAGUGGCAACGUCCAAAAGGUGGGAGGUGGGUUUGCCUCCCUUCCCCAAUUAUUCACAGGACUGGUUACUACCAGACCAGGACAGCGUUAAACAAGAUUGUUAGCCAAGAUCCAAAGAGUUCCUUCAGGAAUGGGAUCUUUUGUUUUGCUUUCUUAUUUACUCUCUUCACUUUAAACCACAGGCUGCUGUGCCAUAUCACAUAUCAAAAAUGCUUUAUCAAAGGCACUCCAGUCCAGUUUCAAAAGUGUUUUGUUAUGCGGUCAGAGGGGAGGGCAGGGGAGUGGCACUCCGAGGAAGCCAAGUCCAAAGUCUCCUCAGGUUCAAAAAUGGCUUCCUCCACCACCCCUCUUUUCAACAGAGCUUGACCCACCCUGGGCAUCAGGUGGAAUCCUGGGGAAACUCUCUUCCUCUUGCUACUGGAAAAGUACACAAAAAUCCUUCACGUGCAAGCCUACAUGUGGAUUGGGACUACUGAUAUCCGACAGGAAGAACAUGCAUCUUUGAGGACUGUUUGGAAGAGAGAAAGCAGAAACAAAGCUCCUCCAUCAGGGCCUUGUGCGAUGUAGCGGAAUCUUCAGUUACAAUUGGAAAAUGGUCUCUUACCUGGGCAUGUAUUGGGGUCACCAGUUGCCACAUUCCAGGUGGAAAACCAGACCAAGGCUGCAAAGACCCUUCGAAGUACGCGAGGAUCCAUCUCGUCUCUCUUUUGGCAACUCACGUUUCUCUAUAUGUACUUGCAGGGAACAAUGCCACUUUUGAAGGCUUAUCUUGGAGAGUGAACCGAUGAUUUCCCCACCUUUGUUCGAGGGCAUAAAAGCUGCAAUAAUCUCUAAAGUAAUUAAUCACCAUUUCCUGGAGAGAGAUGUGUGUGUAUGAGGGAGAGUGAUUGUUGCUUCUUCAAACAGCACAUUGUGUCCUGGACUUCAGAUCCAUAAUAGAUCCUUAUUUCCCUUAUGGGAAACUAUAAUUUUCACUUGACCCCUUGAGCAACUUGACUGUGUGCAGCAGAGAAC